CUCUCUCUGCCAAGCAGCUUUAGGUGGUAACUGAUCUGUGACAAGCUGCCAGUCAAACAGAGCAUUUCUGAAAGCUAACACAAAAGACUGAACACUGGAAAAAAGAGAGAGGAAUAAGAAAAGAAACCAAACAGUAUCGGCUCCUCUCUCCUGCUCAUCUCUCUCACCCUCUCUCCUUCCAUUCCCUCCUAGCAAGGUUCAUGGCAGGGGCAGCUCAUAGCCUGCUAGAUAAAGAUCAGUAGCCCAUUCAAACAAGAGACUGUCCUGGCUUACUGCUGAUAAUAGAGGCAGAAGUGAGAUUGACAGUCAGAUGGAAAUUAACACAGGGCUUCCUUGAAUGCUCACAGUUCCCAUGGGAUGAACAGAGAAAGAGAGCAGAGAGAGGGGGAGAGGUAAGGAAAAGAAGAGCAGAGUAAUGAGAACAGAAGAUGUUGAACUGAAAUGUCACUACGUUCCCAACAUUCUCUAAGGAGUGCCAACAGUGCGUGUGCUGGACGGACCAGCGAUAUGUCACUUCCGCAAGCGCCGGGGAGACAUGACCGGAAACCGAGCCAUGGUGUCUGGGGCGGCGGGCGAGUUCACUCACUGUUAAGUUUUCAAUGUUCCACCUAGAAGGAAGAAACUGAACAAAGUGGAGCAAGUAGCUAAAGCCAUGACAUAUGUCCUUGUUUAACAACUCAGAGACAUGGACACUGCUAUGUCCGUACAGGAGGAUGCAAGGUUUAUAGAGGCUGAGUGCCAAAUGCAAGACUCAUUUAUUACCCAAGUCAUGACAAUGCAGGAACGCAUGAGUAGAGAGCAGCAUAAGCGUCAUAGGGAAUUGCAACAAAUGAACAUGGCGUUCUUUGAACGUUUGAUCAAUACUUCAAAAGCUCCAACCCAACACCACAGCUCACAAUACCCUGGGCAGGGUUAUUCCACAGUUAAUCCUGGCCCAUACUAUGCCCUAAAUACUGCAGCAUCUAAAGCACAAAGUUCAGAGUUUAGUGUAUACUACAAUUUAACUUAAACUUAUGGGCACAUUCAUCAACGAGUGAUAAACAGCUCCCAAAUUUUUUUUUUCUAAUAUAUAUCAGUUAGGAGCACCAACUGAUUGGCUGGUAUAAUUUAUUGCUCACAGUGAAAUUUAUCACUCAUUGAUAAAUAACCACAGUAUGGUUAAUAACAAAGUGUUUAUGCACAACUGUUUGUGCAUUAUGUUUAAUUCUAAUGGUUUACUGUAUUACAAUUUUUGUUUGGGAUGGGGUGGUACGGGUACGGGAGGAGUGAGGGUUUCUUAUGGCUGUGGUGUAUUUUGCAUAGUGUCUAAAAACCUCAAAACAAACACUUAUUUUUGUAAAUUAUACUGCAAAUAUACUGCAGGGAUUCUGUGGCUAUACAUUGUUGUAAUUGUAUCUAAAAGCCUACCAGUGUGCAUUUUUUUUUUUGGAAUUCAAAAGUUAUGUGAAACUAUAUGCAUAAGGUACCCAAAUGUGCGUAUCAGUAGACCAUCUUUUCCUU